rnacentral:rRNA from 1 species
GUCAACUCCUACGGGAGGCAGCAGUGGGGAAUAUUGCACAAUGGGCGCAAGCCUGAUGCAGCCAUGCCGCGUGUAUGAAGAAGGCCUUCGGGUUGUAAAGUACUUUCAGCGGGGAGGAAGGCGGUGAGGUUAAUAACCUCGCCGAUUGACGUUACCCGCAGAAGAAGCACCGGCUAACUCCGUGCCAGCAGCCGCGGUAAUUGCGCCC